GUUGCAAUUAUGUGAUUGGCACAGCAAUAUUGGUAUUCCCCGAUCAUCGAGCAUAUAUUCAAUGCAUGAGCAUUAUGUCAUUUUGAGGUUGAUACCAGAGUGAAAAGGAGUGAUAUUGGAGUCGCUGAGAGAACAUAUCUCGUUACAUCAACCAACAACUAGAUAUAAGAUGAGUCAAUAUCAUCAAAACCAGAGAAGAAGCUAUUCCCCAGGUGGCAGAAAAAAUGAACCUUCAGAACACGAUGAAGUAAACAUAACGGUGGACUUAAAUGGGAAAAAACUAUCCUUAAGUGUAGUCUUGAAUUGGACCCAAGACUUCCUGAUUGAGCAGAUUGCAGCCCUUAUCGGUCUACUUAAAAGUCAAUUUUACGUGACUUUUCAGAGCAAGAAGUUGCAUGGUGCCAAAAUGAUAUUUUAUGUUGGAAUACGGAAUGGUAGUAAAGUAUAUGUCAAUGGGCGACUGCGAGGUGGGCUUAAAGUUAUAUUUUAGUGAUAUAAUAAUGUACUCGGGAGUCGGGAGUGCAUAUUUUCUCAAUGCUAUCAUUCGCACUCAUAUUUCCGCAAGUAAGAUUUACACUGCCCCACUCCAGAAAAACGAUAGCUGCAGAUGAUAUUAUUUUUUUCUAGCGUUUACUUCACUCAUUCAAGAUAAUUUUGUUUAGCUCUGUAAAUUCAUACUACUAAGUACAUAGGUAAACAUACUGAGACGAUUCCCCACGUUUUAAUAAUUGUUCUUGUCGGUUCUUUGAUGUAUUUUGCUUAUGUAUUUGUAUAAUAUGUAUAUCUUAGUCAUUGUUAUAUUUUCCAAUUGAAUUCAAUUUCAUUUGCAUUUAUUACAGAUUGAACAAACAAAAUGUAUAACAGAUAGAGGAGUGACAUUAAGUUUGAUACCAAGUAAUGAGGUGAUUAGACACAGGAAAUUUCAUCUAAUUUACUGAAAUUUUAGUAAUCGAAUUUUAGUCAUCGAAAGAUUAUAAUGGAAAUGAUUUAAUUACAUGAAUAAAGCUUCUUAAUUCUGUCAUCACCCAUUCCACACUAUUGCUCAAACACCCAGCUCUAAAAACUGCUGUAUAUUUUAUAGAACGAUUUAUUUUUACAUCAUAUACUGGAUCUCACCAUUCUAUAUAAUGGCGCUAUAUAGUUUCAGGGGCGGAAAGCUCUUCUCAAAGGUGGGGGACACAAUUGAGUUUACCAUUUUUAUUUGUAAAUAUAUAUAUAUUUACACACACACAUGCACGAGAGACUAGUCGAACCGAUACCCCUUUUCCUACCCAAGUUCUUAACCAAAAUAUAUCGAUAUGAUAUAUAUUUCGAAAUUCAAGGAUACAUGUUUGAUUACGAUUUUGAAUGAUGCAUUUUUUUCCAUCAUAAAAGAGCACAAAUAGUGGGGAUAUUUUAUAUUGUGUCCCUUGUCCCCUCUGGUAUUUCCGCCCAUGUAUAGUUCACUGCAAAAGUUCAGCCAUAUGUUAAUAUUAAAUUGUUCAUUAGUGAUAAUGUUCAACUAGUAUUUGAUUUUUAGAGUUUUGUUAUGAAUCCAUUGUUUGGUACAAAUGCAUUGCUUUACUGUGAUAAAUUGAUAGAAUGUCUAGUAAUCAAACUUACUGUGACAACCCAAUAUAAUGAAAAUGAUUCAGAUAGAGAUUAAAUAUUUUUCAAUUAAAUGCCAUUUAAUUUGCAUGCAAAUGUAUAUACAUGAUGACACAUAUAAGUGGUAUUUAAGGUGUUUAAUGUGUGAAAAUAAAUGGAAAUGUAUUCAUAAGUUUGAUUGCCUGGAGUCGCUUGAAUUCUUAAAAUCAUUAAUACUUUAAAAGAUAACUAUCCAUUAGUAUUUAUCUUUUUAUAAACAUUUAUACACAGCCCCCAACAUUCGAAUAUAAAUGAUACAUUACUUUUGAUUGAAUUGCACGCAUGUUCUAAUGUUUAUACACUCAUUUAAAUUUAUAUACCAAAGGGCUUGCUGUUCGCCAUUUCUUCGAUCUUUGUAAUAAGUUUAUCUAUUUGUUCCCAUGUGUGUUGUAAUGAAUUUUUCAGAUUAAAUGGUUUAGUUCCCCGGA